UACGGGGGGAGCAAGCGUUGUUCGGAUUUACUGGGCGUAAAGGGCGCGUAGGCGGCCACCGCAAGUCGGUUGUGAAAUCUCUGGGCUUAACCCAGAAAGGUCAACCGAUACUGCGGGGCUAGAGUGCAGAAGGGGCAACUGGAAUUCUCGGUGUAGCGGUGAAAUGCGUAGAUAUCGGAAGGAACACCUGUGGCGAAAGCGGCUCACUGGACCAUAACUGACGCUGAUGCACGAAAGCUAGGGGAGCAAACAGG
rnacentral:rRNA from 1 species